rnacentral:misc_RNA from 1 species
GAUGAAGAACGUAGCGAAACGCGAUAAGUAAUGUGAAUUGCAGAAUCCAGUGAAUCAUCGAAUCUUUGAACGCACAUUGCGCCCGCCAGCAUUCUGGCGGGCAUGCCUGUUCGAGCGUCAUUUCAACCCUCGACCUCCCCUUGGGGAGGUCGGCGUUGGGGACCGGCAGCACACCGCCGGCCCUGAAAUGGAGUGGCGGCCCGUCCGCGGCGACCUCUGCGCAGUAAUACAGUUCGCACCGGGACCCCGACGCGGCCACGCCGUAAAACACCCAACUUCUGAACGUUGACCUCGAAUCAGGUAGGACUACCCGCUGAACUUAAGCAUAUCAAUAAGCGGAGGA